AUUGAACGCUGGCGGCAUGCCUUACACAUGCAAGUCGAACGGCAGCACGGGUGCUUGCACCUGGUGGCGAGUGGCGAACGGGUGAGUAAUACAUCGGAACAUGUCCUGUAGUGGGGGAUAGCCCGGCGAAAGCCGGAUUAAUACCGCAUACGAUCUACGGAUGAAAGCGGGGGACCUUCGGGCCUCGCGCUAUAGGGUUGGCCGAUGGCUGAUUAGCUAGUUGGUGGGGUAAAGGCCUACCGAGGCGACGAUCAGUAGCUGGUCUGAGAGGACGACCAGCCACACUGGGACUGAGACACGGCCCAGACUCCUACGGGAGGCAGCAGUGGGGAAUUUUGGACAAAGGGCGAAAGCCUGAUCCAGCAAUGCCGCGUGUGUGAAGAAGGCCUUCGGGUUGUAAAGCACUUUUGUCCGGAAAGAAAUCCUUGGCCCUAAUACGGUCGGGGGAUGACGGUACCGGAAGAAUAAGCACCGGCUAACUACGUG
rnacentral:rRNA from 1 species